GGGUGGGACCGUGUUUCACACUGCCAAGAGCACAUGACUAAGGUCAAUCUGUCAAUGUUGUCAGAGAGAGGCAGAGUUUAGACUAACCCAGGGAAGGAAUCUGUAACACAGAGAGGGAACAGGAAGCGACACAGGAUUCAUACGGAUGCCGUGAAAUCCCCAUGCUGGAGGAACUUAAAUACCAGCCCAAAGACUAGAGGAACUACUGCAACAGGCUAACCAGGACCAUCAGCAGAGGGGCGACUGCGUCCUGCUCAGGACACCUCAUGUCCCAACAUGCGGCCGACGAACAGAGAAUGAACCCGGACCCUGGAAUGGGUUCCCAACCGCAAACAUUUGGCACACUGUGGGUGCUGAAGUCAGAGCUGUGCUUCAACAACAUUUCUUGAAUAAGGAUUAGCAGAGUUGGGGCUCGGACAUCUUUUAUUUACUUUAAAAAUAUCUUUUGAGAAAUCAAACGUGUCUCAAUUGGACAGGAAACAGAACAUGCCCUGCUCUGAAUUGCGUUCUUUCUUUUUCCUUUUUCCUGAGAAUUCCAUUAAUCCUGGCUUUAUGAUUGGCUUAGGUGCCCAGGUCAAUGCCUUUCACUGCUCUGUACCUUACUUAGUUUGUUGAUCUUCAAAAUGAGUGAUGAUGUCUGCGGCAAGCCACAGGGACCAACGAGAGAAUCAAUGUGCUGGGUUUUGUCUGAUGCCUGCCUGAUAAACUGGACAUGACAAGACUGGAUAACACCAGAGUGGAGACCUGACUUGGCAAUACAAAGUGCUAUUUCCCAGGAGCUCAAUUUAAAAUGUAAAAGACAAGGGCUAGAGAGAGGUCUCAACAGCUGAGAGCACUCCUUGUUCUUGUGGAGGGCCUGAGUUCAGGUCCCAGCACCAACACGGUACCGUGGUGUAAAACAUCAAGCAUUCCCGGCCCUCUUCUGGCCUCCAAGGACACUGAACACAUGUGGUCCACAGACUUUUAUACAGAAUGUCUGCUAUUGUUUGAGAGUAAAGACAAAUGCAGUUUCCUCAACUUAAACUGAAAAGAUGGACAGGCUCCUCUAAGUGAAAAUGUAGAAUGACCCAUGACCAGGUGUGGCUCAUCCAGCAACCAGUGACCAGGUGUGGCUCACCCAUCAACCAGUGAAAGGUGUGGUUCAUCCAGCAACCAAUGAUCAGGAGCCAGUAAUCAAGACGGCCUGUAGCCUGCUGGUCAUGAGACUUUCUCCUUCCCGAGCUGCCCUGACCCAUCCCCAGAAGGAACUCCACACAGAGAGGCCAAGAAACACCUGAACACACAGGCCUAUAUGAAUCCCACUGAGGCAAUCCCCAUUAAAUCAUUCCUCUUGCUUCAUCACA